UGGGGGUCCCUUCCAACUCAGGAUAUUCUGUGAUUUCACAGUGUAGGGAAGAUGUGGAGAAUUACCCAAAACAAUGGGAGCCUGCUUGGGAAGGGGGCAGGGAAGUGCCUCGUGGAUCAGGGGUUCUGUGUGUCAGAUUCCCUUGGGUUUGUGUUUUUGGAAACAUUAUAAUACAAAGCAGCUAAAAAAGGUGAAACAGAGUGGAACAGCUUGAUCAACCCAACAGAUACCUGGCCUAUGGAAACUCUGGUUGGCACUGAUCUCCCUCUUUUAUUAACUUCACCAUCUCCUGCUACACCUGCAACAGGCCUGUGACCCUCCCUCCUUCC
rnacentral:lncRNA from 1 species